rnacentral:rRNA from 1 species
UACGUAGGCAGCAAGCGUUGGUCGGAGUUACUGGGCGUAAAGGGUGCGUCGGCGGCCUUAUAAGUAUGGUGUGAAAUCUCCCGGCUUAACUGGGAGGGUGCGCUAUAGACUGUGGGGCUAGAGUGUGGGAGAGGAAAGUGGAAUUCCUGGUGUAGCGGUGAAAUGCGUAGAUAUCAGGAGGAACACCGGUCGUGUAAACGGCUUUCUGGACCAUAACUGACGCUGAGGCACGAAAGCGUGGGUAGCAAACAGG